rnacentral:rRNA from 1 species
AUUGAACGCUGGCGGCAGGCUUAACACAUGCAAGUCGAACGAGUGGCGGACGGGUGAGUAAUGCUUGGGAAUCUGGCUUAUGGAUGGGGAUAACGACGGGAAACUGUCGCUAAUACCGCGUACCAUAGGAUGAGCCCAAGGGGGAUUAGGUAGUUGGGGGGGUAAUGGCCUACCAAGCCGACGAUCUCUGGCGGGUUUGAGGGGAUGACCGGCCAAACCGCGACUGAGACACGGCCCGGACUCCUACGGGAGGCAGCAGUGGGGAAUAUGGCGCAAUGGGGGAAACCUGACGCCGCCAUGCCGCGUGAAUGAAGAAGGCCUUCGGGUUGUAAAGUUCUUUCGGUGACGAGGCGUUAAUCACAGAAGAAGCACCGGCUAACUCCGUGCCAGCAGCCGCGGUAAUUC